CUAUCGCCUAUAUCUCGAGGGGUGGUACCUUCUGUUUCGCUGUCUUUUUUUCUUUCUAGCAGCAGCGGCGAUGGUGGCGGGACAACUAAUCAGCUCUUCUGCAAUUUUGGAGAUACUGCAGACUAUUUCCACGCCCAAGCAAGAGUGGGUACAUCAGUGAGUUUGAAAACAGCACAAAGCAUAAAAAUUGGACAGCAGAAGAAUGCGGCGGCGGCGUCUCCAAGGACAAAUCGAUUUUUUCCACUCGCUGAGACUAGCAUCAGCGUGUUUGGCGUCCAAGGAACUGCGGCACAGCGAUUACGUGUGUGCCCAGCAAGACGGCCAAACGCAAGGACUCCCGCCAUGCAAUCAACGUGACUCACAGGAGCGCGGAUUACGUCGUCUUCCGCAACGGCCUACUUUUCGUACCACAAUCGCCAGAGUGGGUCCAUUUUGCUUAUACAUAGAAUACCGGUCGACCCACUAUAAUCAGCAAUAAACCGACCGUGACUAUACGCAAUUAACUCCGGUAAGAUGAGAUACGGAGCUUCGGUUUUAAUAAAGGGAUUACUCGCUCUCGUAGUCGUUUAGAGUCCUUGCAGUGAUGCCAUUUAAGUGUCGUUUGUUGUUCCAUUCUGCAAUUGCGUAGAGAACAGGAACAGUCACCAGCACGGGGAAGUACAGAAAGCUACAUAGAUGUACUUUUUAUAUGCCUGCCAUGCUGUGGG